GGCCGGGCCCCGGGCAGGAGCGCGUGAAGCCCUGCGGCGAGCAUGUGGCAGCCCUGAUUCCUGCCCGUAGCUCGACGAUAACCUCAUCGAUCUGCAGCCCCUGCCUCCCCCGCUGCCGCGCCACCCCCACCAGCCAUCGCGGGCCCCUGCCAGCCCGCACACCCCUGCUUCCCCCGCCGUCGCGCCACCCCCACUUGCCGAUCCGCCGCCCCUACCUCCCACGCCGGGCCGCGCGCCCCUGCUUCCCCUGCCGCCGCGCCACCCCCACCCGCCGCCAGGAAUUGCUCCGCCCCGAUCUGCUCCGUCGUGACGUCUUCGUGGCGCCGGCCGGGGUGGUCACCUACCUGGCCAACACCGACGGCCGGAGGAAGCGGACCAGCGGCGGCUCAGCGUGUUCAACGCCAUCGAAGGCGCCUACAGCGAGAACCUGCCCGUCAUCUGCAUCACCGGCGGGCCCAACUCAUCCUCCGCCACACCAUCGGCCUCCUGGACUUCUCUCAGGAGCUCCGCGGCUUCCAGACCGUCACCUGCCACCAGGCGGUGGUGACCAAUCUGGACAACGCGCACAUCAGGUCAGGCACUCAGGCAUGUCCUGGUCACUGACCGCUUUAGGAUUUGUUUGUUUGCUAGCCUAGCAUAGUUUCUUUAAUUGGAAACUCGACCAUUGAUUAUGUUCAGAAGUCCCAGUUUGUUUCAUGUUUUAGUGCCAUCAGCUUGUGAAUUCAGUGAUUGGCGAUAAUUCUGGAAAUGUCAUGUAUAGUUCUGAACCAGAAAUGCUCUUGCAACACCUAGCUGAUAUACUUGCGAAUUUAGAGAUUGUUGGUGCACCUGGUGAACUAAAGAAAUUGUUACAAGACACAUCGACAUUGUAACCAGUGACAGGUUUACAAUUAAGUGUUAGGUAACCAGUGACUCCGCUUCACCAUCUAAAAAUGCAUACACAGAAUUGUAACUUAUUACAGAUGAACUUGCAAUGUAAGCAGAAUUUGCAACUAACUUCUGAGAGCAAACAUUUUUUUCCUUGUUUUAUAAGCACAAGGAGCAAUCGAGACUCAAGAUUACUAGCAAGUUGCCUCAUAGCUCACUGCACAAGGUCAUUAACAAGGUUUCUUUCAUUAACAAUGUGUCUAAGAAUACAACUUUAAGAUCAAGAAAUAUUAAGAAAUGUUUCUUUCAUGAUCUUUCAAAAUGGUUGCUCAGUUAAGAAUACAUACUGUACAGAGUUAUAUAUUCUUUAAUGCACUAAUGUUCCUAUUUAAUUGUAAUACACGAAUGGAUGCUUCUGGUUCAAGCAACAUAUGAGACACAGCAAUCUAUCAUCGAGGAUGGUAAUAUCCUUGCUUUGAUUUUAUUCAGUUCAAGAUUUCCACAUAUUUAAUUGGCUCAUGAUGAUGUUAAACCUGGAAUGUUACUGCGAGCUAAGGCUGCUACUGUUGAGAAAAAUUUAGCAUGUGCAAACUACAUUUGAAUAGGAAUGUAGCAAUGUAAAGAAAAAGGGGAGGAAUUUUGUGACUUUUUUUUUCAGAUCUGAAUUGCUUAGAAAUUUGAAAACAACUGAAACCUGGUGAUUUUCCUCUCAAACAUGUGAAUGUAUUCUAUUCAACAACAGAUGUCCCGGUGAGUGUAUUUGUGUUCUGUACUUGGGGAUUUUUACUUAGGGAUGUGUUUUGUUUUUUUUUUUGGGGUUCAAAAUAGGAGCUGGAGUUUUGUGGUAAGGAGCAUUUCACCGGAAGAGCUAAUGGAAGAAUAAAAUUGCAACUAUGAUGCACCUUGUCUUGUACAUAAGCUUUGUUUUCCUAUUGUAAUGUCAACUAGGCAGGUUAAACCCUUUUAUUUGAAAAGCAAAUCAUAAUGAUGCCUGCCACUCCCCACUCAAACAUGAAGUUUGUGUGAAACAUGAAGCCUGUUAUUCUUGUUCUGUCACUAAUUCGUCAAAAACAUGAAAUACAUUUACACAAGAUUCAAUAAACAUGAAGCCUGUUAUUCUUGUUAUGUCACUAAUUCGUCAAAAACAUGAAAUACAUUUACACAAGAUUCAAUAGUGAUGGCUAUUUUUUAUAAUCAGUUUUCUGUACUAUAGGAAGGCACUGGAAUAAGGGUAUAAUGCAUUCCCUGUCGAUAGCUAUUUUUGCAGGGUUUAAUUUUAGUGCACACACAACCACAUGUGAUUUGCUUGGCAUGCAUGCCGCACAUGGGCUCUGCUAGGUUGGAAAAGGUAUCUUUAAAGUUUCUACAAUGAAUUGUGGUUUGAUUUAAUCUCAAUUGCCAUCACCUUAAUGAAUUGUGGUUUGCUUUUUUCCUUUCAGAGCCACAUGCUUCUUAAUGCUAGGUUUCCAUCAGGUUUGGAGAGCAACACUUGGAUAGCACUUUGGGGGCCAGAUGGAUUCGCUGGAGAAACUGACUGCAUUGCUUGAUGCGUGUAGUGAGCUGGGUGUGGAUACAGGCCCAAGAAUGAUAGAGCUUUGACAAGGAGAAGGAUGUUAACAGUGUGCGCGUCCCUUCUCUAGAGAUGGUUUGUAAAGACUUUCAUGCUUGUAAAUGGCCUUCAGACCUGGCAAACGAGGAUGAGUCUAUUGCUCUUUACUUCGACAAAUUGAAUGACAAGAACCAUGAUGCUAUUGAAGAAGUAAAAAAUAGCAGCAAGCAGAUAUUAACAUUUUCACACUUCGUACCAAGUCGGCUUCCAAGAAUAUGAGAUCACAUAAUAAUUCAAGAAGUAGCCUCCUACACCGCCACUUUUAAAUUGUUUGUACACAAUGAGGCAGAUUCUGCAGGGAAUGAUAGGUGUGAGGAGAUCCACGUGAUAUCUGAGCUAUUUCUAUAGUGAGGCUAAUUUUCAGAUGCGCAAGAUGAAUUUUUCCUUUUAUUAUUAUUCUUCUUCAUGAUUGCCGAAAGAUUAAACCAUUGAAAUAGUGUGUGGAAGGUAGGCUACCUUCUGGAUCAGGGUAAGGAAACUUAACAAGAGUCAUGCUGCUGCUUGGACCACGUAUUAGAGAAGAUCGGCGUGACCUCUGCGGCCAAAGGAGCGGAAUGCUAGCCUGUCGUGAUGAUGACUAUUUGGAGUUUGUAUAUUGGAAUUUGGAAUCACGGGUUUUCCCACUCGUCAAUCCUGUCGUGCCCUUGGUCGACGAAAAUUUUUCUGAUCAGUGGCACAAAAAUUUUUCUGAUCACUGGGGCCGGUGAGAGGUAGGUAGGAAAGUUUUAGGUAAAAGUAUUUCUUGUUUUGUUUUUUAUAGUGUAGAUUUUAGUUUUCUGAUCUUGUUUUCUUCCAAUGGGUGGGAUUUGAUUGGCUCCAAAUAAAUUUAUGUAAACUCUCAUUGGUUAUUCCAUCGCGCAAUAAAUGAGACUUUUUAGUAGUUCGAUGCAA